rnacentral:rRNA from 1 species
UACAGGGGGUGCAAACGUUGCUCGGAAUCAUUGGGCGUAAAGCGCACGUAGGCGGUUCGUUAUGUCGGAUGUGAAAGCCCUUGGCUUAACCGAGGAAGUGCAUCCGAAACUGGCGAGCUAGAGUACGAAAGAGGAUCGCGGAAUUCCCGGUGUAGAGGUGAAAUUCGUAGAUAUCGGGAGGAACACCGGUGGUGUAGACGGCUUUCUGGACCGUAACUGACGCUGAGACACGAAAGCGUGGGUAGCAAACAGG